AUGAUGCAGCAGUCGCAGGCGACGGCGGCGGUGGCCGCACCGGCGGCGGCGGCGCGCGCGCACGAGCCAGCGGGCGGGGACGCGCCGCCGAAGCAGGUGGCGCAGGCGAUGGAGCGGCUGGGCCGCGCGGGCAGGAUCAUCGCGGACAUCCGGCUCGGCGCGGACCGCCUCCUCGAGGCGCUCUUCGUCGCCGCCAGCGCGCCGCCGGACAGCGCCCAGCAGCAGAUCGAGAGGAACGAGGAGGUUGUAGCCAAGGAGGAGGUCUCCAUGCACCGCCACUUCGACGACCUCCGCGCCCUCGGCAGGCAAUUGGAAGAGUCCGGGGUUCUAAAUGGGGCCCUUAAAGCUCGAGGAAAUUCAUGGGGCUUGCACAUGCCACUUGUGUGCCCAGAUGGUGCUGUUGUGGCCUAUGCUUGGAAGCGUCAAUUGGCAGGCCAAGCUGGUGCAUCAGCUGUUGACAGAACUAGGUUAGCUCUCAAGGCCUUCACUGACCAGAAAAGAAGAUUCUUUCCUCAUCUAGAAGACGAAGUUCUUAACCAUCUCCAUGAUGGUGAAUCUGGUAUUGCUAAAAGGCCAAGGAUGCCUGCGGGCAACGGAGAGCUGGAAGAAAAAACUUUGUCCGAGAUACUUAAGAAUCUAGAAAAUGAAGUACCCAACAUGAAAAUAUCCACGUAUCGUCGUUUAGAUUGGUCAAAAAGAGCUUCAUCAUUAGCAUCUCUAAUGGAUGAUGACUUUGUGGAUCCAUCUAAGGAGUUGAACCUGCAAAAUAUGGGAAAAUCGAGACCUGGUUCUGUGACGACUCCGAUAGAUCAGGUUGCAGUAAUUGAGUUGCUGGUUCCUUCAAUAUUUAGAGUUGUAGUGUCAUUGCAUCCUGCAGGAUCUGUUGAUCCUGAUGCUGUGGCAUUCUUCUCUCCAACUGAGGGAGGAAGCUACCUUCAUGCGAGAGGCUUGUCGGUGCAUCACGUCUUUAAGCAUGUGACGGAGCAUGCUGACAAGGCAUUGCAGUACUUCAUCAGUGUGGAACCCAGUAAAGCACUUUCUAUAUUAUUGCAUUGGAUUGCUGAUUAUCAGACUCUAUUUACAAAACUUUGCAGUAAAUGCCGACGGCUUCUGCUCAUGGACAAGUCUUUGGCUUUGCUUCUACCCCCGGUUCACCGCCCCUACCACCAGAUCUCAAGCAUUGGUUCAGAUCAUCAGGAAGCCUAUCACAUUGGAUGUUCUUCCUAUGAUGCCUGA
rnacentral:rRNA from 1 species